rnacentral:lncRNA from 1 species
CCAGGAGGGUAAGGUCAGGACCACGCAGAUGCGACUGCUGUUCUGCUUGCCCCGCAGUGAUAAGGGCACAGCUGUGGGAAAGCCAGAGCAUCUGCUGUGAGUCACCAAGUGCAAACAGGAUGAUAACAGAGUUAGGCUCGGAAAAAAACAUCCCUUCUGAGACACAGAAGGCAGCGCACCACAGAACACUGGCUCCUUUCUACAGAAAAAGGAAACCAAGCAACGUUCCUUCAGCAAGGCAACAAGAAGCCAGUGAAGACUACGAAUGAAAAAUGAUUUGAUCAUAUUUUCCAUUUAUAAGUUCUGCGGCCAGUUCAUAGGACUCCAGGGACCUUGAGACUGAAGCACAUUCUACAAAUAAAGUCAAAUGCAGAAGUCAAAAGAACAGAGACCCAUGCAGCCACUGGCUCUUCUGCCUGUUAAUUCCAAUCUGUCUCAAAUAAUGCUAUUCACCCAGAGUCUUUGCAUAACAAUGAGGAAAAGGAGACAGAAGGGCACAACACCGCCAUCAUCUAUUCACUGAGUAAGUAGAGUCACUGUGGAUGGCAUCUGCCUUAUUUACGAAGAAACCGAUACACAAAGACACCAGCCACAGACCUAGCCUUUUAUUUGCCACCCCUUUUAUGCCCACAACAUAGUAGUGCCUGCAGAAUUGUUAACUAAAGUGUUUCUCUAAUGAGGGAGUGAGUGAGCACUCUUAUAUGAUGACUUUCAAUAACCAAAAGGAAACAAAUUUAGUACAAGGGUGCUUUGGUUAAACGACAUAGGAAAUGGAUUCUGGUACUCGCCCACAAUAAAUUAUAAAUUGGCAGGGAACAGACAUUUUAUAUUCAUUUAAAAUAAGCAUAAUAAGGAAUUGCCCACAAGAGAAAGCUGGAAAGACAAAUUGACACUCUACUACAUCAAAUUCACAGAACUAGAGAACGCACACGAGCAAACACAUUCAAA